CAAAGAAAAUAUAUGUUACGUCUAGAAAACAUAAAAUACCUAGAGAAAUCCAGUCGGCCAGCCAAUGGGACAGUGACACGGCGCGUUCAGGUGGCGCCGCAGGCCGAGGUGCCGAUCUGCGUGACUUGCCGCUCGCACGCCUCGCGCUCCGACCACACCAUGCACCGCGGAGCCUCCACACACCCCACCGCUGAAGUGCAGCUUGUUGACGGACCCGCCGACACUGUUAGCACUGAUGUAGAGCAUAACGCAUCACCGGCCUACAAAAUAUAGAUAUACAAUUUAGUUGUUGUUCGCAAAGGGGAAUAUUUCUGUUGUAAAAACUCUUUAAUAGUAAGACACUGGCUGUUUUUUCUUUUUUAAAUUGUUCUUUCAUGCACUCUGGUCUUAUCUGCCUAAAAGUUAGGUAAUAAAGCUUUUUUUACAUAA